rnacentral:lncRNA from 12 species
CAGAGAGUCACAGGGAUCACAUACAUCUAGCAGCAUCCAUAAAAAAGAGACAGUAACAAAACCUUUUCUUUUAAAGCAGGCAAGCUGAUAUAAACAGAAAAAAGAAGCCUUUACAGUGAAGCCUGGUGCUAUGCAAAUUGCUCCCUGAAAAUACUAAAGCAAGUUUGACAUCCUGUGGCCAGAGUUAGCAUGGGAAUAACUCACCCUUUCAAACCCUGGGCUUGCUCACUCAGAAAAUCAUCCUGCUCCUGAGGGCAUAUAUUUUUGUCUGAGAAUAUGCAGAAGAAGGCUAAAAAUGAAAGCUUUUCCAAUACUGAGGACACAAAGCAGAGAAGUACUUUGAGGAUUGCACUACUUCAUCUGAAAACAUGGAUUAUGGCAGUCAGUGGAGACAGGUGCCCAAAUGGCCACUUCAUUCCAUCAAUUUCAAAAAUCAGGACAUUAUU